rnacentral:rRNA from 1 species
AAUACAUGCAAGUCGAGCGAACAGAUAAGGAGCUUGCUCCUUUGACGUUAGCGGCGGACGGGUGAGUAACACGUGGGUAACCUACCUAUAAGACUGGGAUAACUUCGGGAAACCGGAGCUAAUACCGGAUAACAUUUGGAACCGCAUGGUUCUAAAGUGAAAGAUGGUUUUGCUAUCACUUAUAGAUGGACCCGCGCCGUAUUAGCUAGUUGGUAAGGUAACGGCUUACCAAGGCGACGAUACGUAGCCGACCUGAGAGGGUGAUCGGCCACACUGGAACUGAGACACGGUCCAGACUCCUACGGGAGGCAGCAGUAGGGAAUCUUCCGCAAUGGGCGAAAGCCUGACGGAGCAACGCCGCGUGAGUGAUGAAGGGUUUCGGCUCGUAAAACUCUGUUAUUAGGGAAGAACAAACGUGUAAGUAACUGUGCACGUCUUGACGGUACCUAAUCAGAAAGCCACGGCUAACUACGUGCCAGCAGCCGCGGUAAUACGUAGGUGGCAAGCGUUAUCCGGAAUUAUUGGGCGUAAAGCGCGCGUAGGCGGUUUCUUAAGUCUGAUGUGAAAGCCCACGGCUCAACCGUGGAGGGUCAUUGGAAACUGGGAAACUUGAGUGCAGAAGAGGAAAGUGGAAUUCCAUGUGUAGCGGUGAAAUGCGCAGAGAUAUGGAGGAACACCAGUGGCGAAGGCGACUUUCUGGUCUGUAACUGACGCUGAUGUGCGAAAGCGUGGGGAUCAAACAGGAUUAGAUACCCUGGUAGUCCACGCCGUAAACGAUGAGUGCUAAGUGUUAGGGGGUUUCCGCCCCUUAGUGCUGCAGCUAACGCAUUAAGCACUCCGCCUGGGGAGUACGACCGCAAGGUUGAAACUCAAAGGAAUUGACGGGGACCCGCACAAGCGGUGGAGCAUGUGGUUUAAUUCGAAGCAACGCGAAGAACCUUACCAAAUCUUGACAUCCUUUGAAAACUCUAGAGAUAGAGCCUUCCCCUUCGGGGGACAAAGUGACAGGUGGUGCAUGGUUGUCGUCAGCUCGUGUCGUGAGAUGUUGGGUUAAGUCCCGCAACGAGCGCAACCCUUAAGCUUAGUUGCCAUCAUUAAGUUGGGCACUCUAGGUUGACUGCCGGUGACAAACCGGAGGAAGGUGGGGAUGACGUCAAAUCAUCAUGCCCCUUAUGAUUUGGGCUACACACGUGCUACAAUGGACAAUACAAAGGGCAGCUAAACCGCGAGGUCAUGCAAAUCCCAUAAAGUUGUUCUCAGUUCGGAUUGUAGUCUGCAACUCGACUACAUGAAGCUGGAAUCGCUAGUAAUCGUAGAUCAGCAUGGUACGGUGAAUACGUUCCCGGGUCUUGUACACACCGCCCGUCACACCACGAGAGUUUGUAACACCCGAAGCCGGUGGAGUAACCAUUUAUGGAGCUAGCCGUCGAAGGUGGGAC